rnacentral:lncRNA from 1 species
GCAUAUUGUUGAGUUUAUCUAAAGCAUACAAUCUUCAUCUCUCCUUCAUGCCACAGUGAAUUAAGUAGAUAAACAUGUCGUGAGAAAUUAAGAUGGAUGAUAAGCUUGCUGGCACCAUCUUGAAGGCACAAGACAUCAUCACCUUCUCCACAGGUACUUACCCUUCUUGCAAUGAUGUGAGAUGACAAGUUGCCUACAUGAUGAGAUAAAGUGAG